rnacentral:SRP_RNA from 1 species
GCGCUAUGUGGGGAGCUAGCGGUGCCCUGUAACUUGCAAUCCGCUACAGCAAGACAGAACGCUUAUCGAGGCUAUCCGUAUGGAAGGCUGACUACGGCAAGGGGUGUUGAUAUUCGGGUCUUGUGCAACGGUGCACUGUGAACCAUGUCAGGGCUUGACGGCAGCAGCAUUAAGCGGACCGCAUUGUGUGCCACGAGGUCGCUCGAGGGGAGCAACCUACCGUGGGAUCGCUUCGGUGCGAAUAGUCGGAAUAAGUGCGC